GAUGAACGCUGGCGGCGUGCUUAACACAUGCAAGUCGAACGAAGCAUUUGCGACAGAUUUUUUCGGAAUGAAGUUGCUUAUGACUGAGUGGCGGACGGGUGAGUAACGCGUGGGUAACCUGCCUUGUACUGGGGGAUAGCAGCUGGAAACGGCUGGUAAUACCGCAUAAGCGCACAAUGUUGCAUGACAUGGUGUGAAAAACUCCGGUGGUAUAAGAUGGACCCGCGUCUGAUUAGCUAGUUGGUGAGAUAACAGCCCACCAAGGCGACGAUCAGUAGCCGACAUGAGAGGCUGACCGGCCACAUUGGGACUGAGACGCGGCCCAGACUCCUACGGGAGGCAGCAGUGGGGAAUAUUGCACAAUGGAGGAAACUCUGAUGCAGCGACGCCGCGUGAGUGAAGAAGUAAUUCGUUAUGUAAAGCUCUAUCAGCAGGGAAGAUAGUGACGGUACCUGACUAAGAAGCACCGGCUAAAUACGUG
rnacentral:rRNA from 1 species